UAACGACUGAAAACUUAGUAGCACCAAGCACUUCAUGCUAUUAUUAAUAGCAUAAUAGCCGAACUCGUAUAUAUGUAUAUAUACAUACAUAUAGAGAGAGAGAGAGAGAGAGAAAGCAGAACUGCUGUGCUUUUAGGAGCACGUAGGCCUCCGUGCUCCUGAGCCGUUUUCGAUGAUGGAAUUUUCGAAUCGACGAUUGACUCCGUUAGACUUGAUCAAGCAUAUUUGAAGUUCCUAGAAAAUAAUUUUUGCAAUUUUUUGAUAUCAUUUACCCAUAUAUUGAAAGGAUUUAACAUCAACGGCUAAAAAUAAAAAUUCUAUAAAAAGUGAUGAUAAAGCACUAAAAUUUUCAAUCAGAGAUAUUGAUCCUGUUGUAGAUAGUAUAAAGAAUUUUGUAUCAAAAUUUCAUCUGAUUUGAAUACUUCUACACCGUUAAACUUAAAAACGGUAGACAUCAACCAUUAAAAAAUAUUGAUUUUGACCCUUUCGAUCACUAGGAAAAUGAUAUCGAAAAAUAGCAAAAAUUAUUUUCUAGAAACUUCAAAUAUUAUAGAUCAAAUCUAACGAAGCCAAUUGUCAAUUCGAAAAUUCCAUCAUCGAAAACGACUCAGUAGCACGGAGGCCUCCGUGCUCCU
rnacentral:lncRNA from 1 species